rnacentral:rRNA from 1 species
UGAGGAAUCUUGCGCAAUGGGGGAAACCCUGACGCAGCAACGCCGCGUGAGUGAGGAAGGCCUUCGGGUCGUAAAGCUCUGUCAGAUGGGAAGAAAUGGGUGGGGGUGAAUAUCGUCCACCCUUGACGGUACCAUCAGAGGAAGCACCGGCUAACUCCGUGCCAGCAGCCGCGGUAAUACGGGGGGUGCAAGCGUUGUUCGGAAUCAUUGGGCGUAAAGCGCGCGCAGGCGGCUUGGUAAGUCAGAUGUGAAAGCCCUGGGCUUAACCCAGGAAGUGCAUUUGAUACUGCCUCGCUAGAGUACGGGAGAGGAAAGUGGAAUUCCUGGUGUAGAGGUGAAAUUCGUAGAUAUCAGGAGGAACACCGGUGGCGAAGGCGACUUUCUGGCCCGAUACUGACGCUCAGGCGCGAAAGCGUGGGGAGCAAACAG